rnacentral:rRNA from 1 species
AAAAGGCGGCGUAAGCUGUCGCUAAAGGAUGGACCCGCGGUGCAUUAGCUAGUUGGUAAGGUAACGGCUUACCAAGGCGACGAUGCAUAGCCGAGUUGAGAGACUGAUCGGCCACAUUGGGACUGAGACACGGCCCAAACUCCUACGGGAGGCAGCAGUAGGGAAUCUUCCACAAUGGGCGAAAGCCUGAUGGAGCAACGCCGCGUGAGUGAAGAAGGUUUUCGGAUCGUAAAGCUCUGUUGUUGGUGAAGAAGGAUAGAGGUAGUAACUGGCCCCUAUUUGACGGUAAUCAACCAGAAAGUCACGGCUAACUACGUGCCAGCAGCCGCGGUAAUACGUAGGUGGCAAGCGUUGUCCGGAUUUAUUGGGCGUAAAGCGAGCGCAGGCGGAAAGAUAAGUCUGAUGUGAAAGCCCCCGGCUUAACCGAGGAAUUGCAUCGGAAACUGUGUUUCUUGAGUGCAGAAGAGGAGAGUGGGACUCCAUGUGUAGCGGUGGAAUGCGUAGAUAUAUGGAAGAACACCAGUGGCGAAGGCGGCUCUCUGGUCUGUAACUGACGCUGAGGCUCGAAAGCAUGGGUAGCGAACAGGAUUAGAUACCCUGGUAGUCCAUGCCGUAAACGAUGAGUGCUAAGUGUUGGGAGGUUUCCGCCUCUCA